AUGCCAGAGAAAAUUAAAAUCCUCAAUUGGAGGGUUGCCACAAACUCUCUAGCUACGACAAAGAACAAACAACGUAGGACGCUGGAGGUCCUAGCAACUUGUCCUAUCUGCGGUCAGGGAGAUGAAGAUGAAUACCACGCAGUUGUUAGCUGCACUAAGGCCCGGGCAUUGAGGACGGAAAUAAGAAAUAGGUGGGAACUGCCAACUGAGAAAGGUUUUGCAUACACUGGACCAAACUGGCUGCAGUGCUUGCUGGACACAUGUAAUGAAAAAACUAGAGACAGAAUUCUACUACUCUUCUGGAGGGCGUGGUACUUACGUGAAGACUGCAUACAUGGUGAAGGGAAAGCU
rnacentral:rRNA from 1 species